CAGAGGGGGAUAACGUUUGGAAACGAACGCUAAUACCGCAUGAUAUUAUUGGGCAGCAUUGCCUGAUAAUCAAAGGAGCAAUCCGCUGAAAGAUGGGCUCGCGUCCGAUUAGGUAGUUGGCGGGGUAACGGCCCACCAAGCCGACGAUCGGUAGCCGGACUGAGAGGUUGAACGGCCACAUUGGGACUGAGACACGGCCCAGACUCCUACGGGAGGCAGCAGUGAGGGAUAUUGGUCAAUGGGGGAAACCCUGAACCAGCAACGCCGCGUGAGGGAAGACGGUUUUCGGAUUGUAAACCUCUGUCCUCUGUGAAGAUGAUGACGGUAGCAGAGGAGGAAGCUCCGGCUAACUACGUGCCAGCAGCCGCGGUAAUACGUAGGGAGCAAGCGUUGUCCGGAUUUACUGGGUGUAAAGGGUGCGUAGGCGGCUUUGCAAGUCAGAAGUGAAAUCUAUGGGCUUAACCCAUAAACUGCUUUUGAAACUGCAGGGCUUGAGUGAAGUAGAGGUAGGCGGAAUUCCCGGUGUAGCGGUGAAAUGCGUAGAGAUCGGGAGGAACACCAGUGGCGAAGGCGGCCUACUGGGCUUUAACUGACGCUGAGGCACGAAAGCGUGGGUAGCAAACAGGAUUAGAUACCCUGGUAGUCCACGCUGUAAACGAUGAAUACUGGGUGUGGGUGGACUGACCCCAUCCGUGCCGGAGU
rnacentral:rRNA from 1 species